rnacentral:rRNA from 1 species
AUUGAACGCUGGCGGCAGGCCUAACACAUGCAAGUCGGGCGCGCGGCGUCCGUGUGAGUUAUGUAUGGGGAUCUGCCUGAUGGCUGGCGAUCACUACUGGAAACUGUAGCUCAUACCGCCUACCCUCAGCUGAACCCAUAUGGGAUUAGCUAGUAGGUAAGGUAACGGCUUACCUAGGCGACGAUCCCUAGCUGGUCUGAGAGGAUGAUCAGCCACACUGGGACUGAGACACGGCCCAGACUCCUACGGGAGGCAGAAGUGGGGAAUAUUGCACAAUGGGCGAAAGCCUGAUACAGCCAUGCCGCGUGUAUGAAGAAGGCCUUCGGGUUGUAAAGUACUUUCAGUCGGGAGGCGUUACCGACAGAAGAAGCACCGGCUAACUCCGUGCCAGCAGCCGCGGUAAUUC